AAAGAUACGGGAAAAGAUGCAAGAGGAAAACGCGACAGAUUCUACAGGGAUGCUGUCUGGAAAGCUGCUAGGAAGGACGCCUUCCUUCAGAGCCAUGGUAUGCGUUUCGCCGAGCAUCUCAGCCCGGAAGACAUAGAAAGAAGGAACAAGCUGUGGCCAACGAUCAAGAUAGCACGAAAUGAGUGAAAGGCUGCUUACUUCGUCGGAGGACGAGGCUUCAUCAACGGUUCAGAAAUCCAUAUUCCUCCCUAAAAUCUCACCAGAAGGAACAGGUUGAUGGUUUCAGCCAUUCUCAUUUUCCUUAUGUUGUUUACCUAACGAGCAUCAGGUGACUAUUUUUCAGGAAUACUCAGGUAUUUCAAUUGAUUAGUUUGUUCUUGUAUGACCAGAAGACCUAUUUUGUUUACAAACUUACGAAGAAGAUUGAAAGCUAUAUUUAUUUUUUAUGUAUACAGUAACUAAGAUACUGUUUUAAAGGGCAAACAUGUCUGCUCUGACUUUACACGGUUAUUGUUCUAUUUAGUUAUUAUUACUUAUUUCCAAAAAAGGUUUUAGGAACGUUUAUAUGUCAAACAUUUUUUAUUCAAUUAUUUUAUGAUCAGUUUUCAUAUGUACUUAAAAUAGUAGGUACCCUUUUAUUCAAAUUAUUAUUUGUUGUUUUAUUUCUCAGUAUAGUUAUUGAUUACACUAAAGAGGGUUUUUAGUCUCUCUUACUACAAGAACCCUUGGUUUGGUCUUGAACAUAAUUUUCAGCUGAGUUGAAUUUCAAAGCCAGAUAACGUCUAACUCAAAGGUUAUGGAAUAAGCUAUUUUCACUUUAAAUUGACUUAAAUGGUGCAGAUCUCGGUUCCUUAUCGUUUACGUUCACUGCUCCUACGUCUUUGACUCAUCCUACUACAGUUUAUACUUUUAUAUAAUCUUUGUUGUUUUGUCUUUGUCUAUAGUUUCUCUUAAUGUGAAGAGUCUCACUCAAUUUCGGCUGAUGCCAACUUCUGGCUGAAACCAACUUCUGGCUGAAACCAACUUCUGGAGGUCACAGUGGGGCAACGAUAUUUGGCUUUCCCAUGGAUCCGAACGCUCUGCCGGUGUCACUACAAUAAAAAAUACCUUUGGUGGUAAUAUUUUACACCCGGAA